rnacentral:rRNA from 1 species
AUGGGCCCAGGCCCGGCCGGGUCCCCCAAGGCCCAUAAAGCUCCAGCCCUCGCGCUGAAACAAGCAUGCUCCCGCGCGCUGGCGAAGCCCGCUGAAGCUAGCCAAGAUCGAGCUUGGGAGGUGGCGGCAGCGAGGGUUAGGUGCGGGGGGAGGGAGCUGUUAGGUGCGGGGAGAGGCCAUUGA